rnacentral:rRNA from 1 species
AUUGAACGCUGGCGGCAUGCCUUACACAUGCAAGUCGAACGGCAGCACGGGAGCAAUCCUGGUGGCGAGUGGCGAACGGGUGAGUAAAGUAUCGGAACGUGCCCAGUCGUGGGGGAUAACGUAGCGAAAGUUACGCUAAUACCGCAUACGAUCUAUGGAUGAAAGCGGGGGAUCACAAGACCUCGCGCGAUUGGAGCGGCCGAUAUCAGAUUAGGUAGUUGGUGGGGUAGAGGCUCACCAAGCCGACGAUCUGUAGCUGGUCUGAGAGGACGACCAGCCACACUGGGACUGAGACACGGCCCAGACUCCUACGGGAGGCAGCAGUGGGGAAUUUUGGACAAUGGGCGCAAGCCUGAUCCAGCCAUGCCGCGUGCAGGAUGAAGGCCUUCGGGUUGUAAACUGCUUUUGUACGGAACGAAAAGGUUUGGCUUAAUACGUUGAACUCAUGACGGUACCGUAAGAAUAAGCACCGGCUAACUACGUGCCAGCAGCCGCCGUAA